CGUCCCCAUCACGACGUCCCCAUCCCACCAUGAUGUCCCCAUCCCACCACGAUGUCACCACCAUGACGUCCUCAUCCCAUCACGAUGUCACCACCACGAUGUCCCCAUCCAUCCCAUCCUGAUGUCCCCAUCUCAUCACGAUGUCACCACCAUGUUGUCCCCACCACGAUGUCACCACCACGAUGUCCCCAUCCCAUCCUGAUGUCCCCAUCCUGUCAUGAUGUCACCACCACGAUGUCCCCAUCCCAUCCUGAUGUCCCCAUCCCGUCACGAUGUCACCAUCAUGACGUCCCCAUCCCACCACGAUGUCCCCACCAUGGUGUCCCCAUCCCAUCCUGAUGUCACCACCACGAUGUCCCCAUCCCAUCCUGUCCCCAUCCUGUCACGAUGUCACCAUCACGACGUCCCCACCCACCCCAUAGCGACGCCCCCACCCCAUUUCAGGUCCCCACCCCACCACCAUGCCGUCUGUCCCGUCGUGACAACAUCCGUCUGUCCCACCAUGAUGGUGUCCCUGCACCCCACAGCGACGCCCUCACCCCAUAGCGUCGUCCACCCACCCCAUAGCGACGCCCCCACCCCAUUCGAGGUCCCCACCCCAACACGAGCACGUCCGUCCCGUCGUCA
rnacentral:lncRNA from 1 species